rnacentral:rRNA from 1 species
UAGGGAAUAUUGCUUAAUGGGCGAAAGCCUGAAGCAGCAACGCCGCGUGAACGAAGAAGGCCUUCGGGUCGUAAAGUUCUUUUACGUGGGAUGAGGAAGGACAGUACCACGAGAAUAAGUCUCGGCUAACUACGUGCCAGCAGCCGCGGUAAAACGUAGGAGACGAGCGUUAUCCGGAUUUACUGGGCGUAAAGCGCGUGUAGGAGGCGCUACAAGUUGGAUGUGAAAGCUCCCGGCUUAACUGGGAGAGGUCGUUCAAGACUGUAGGGCUAGAGUGAGGCAGAGGUAGAUGGAACUCCGGGAGUAGUGGUGAAAUGCGUAGAUAUCCGGAAGAACACCAGAGGCGAAAGCGAUCUACUGGGCCUAAACUGACACUGAGACGCGAAAGCCAGGGUAGCAAACGGG